rnacentral:misc_RNA from 1 species
GAAAAUUGAAUUAGCUCCCCUUUUAGCAAAUCGAAGCAUAAUGUACAUUAGCACCUAGUAAGAAUUAAACUGAACAUAAACAUUGACAAUAUCAAACAAAAUUAUUCUCUUAGCAACUGUGCCUAUGAAUGCUUCCACACUGAUAUUGACAAUAUGAAGUUUGGAUCUCCUUUCAAACUCCACCUACUUUGUAUCCUAACUCUCAUAAAAUGGAAGCUCUGAUAAGGCGCCGAAGAAACUUAGGUAGAUGAUAGAAGAUACAAUAUACAUGUCUCGCUCAAUUAAGCAUUCGGAAGCUUGUACUCCAGCAUCUCCCUUACGUUUAACCGAAUGGAUGGCCCCAUCGACGAGCAUACAUGUGCACUCUUCCAAUAAACUCCUUUAGCACCUGAUGGUUUGUUUGCUUCCACCGAUUUCACUGCUGCAAUGAAGUUUAUGAUAAGAUCUUCUUCCGAGAAAUUUGCUUUUCCAAAUGGCAAGUGAACAAUUCCAG